rnacentral:rRNA from 1 species
AUGCCCUUCGAUGUCCUGGGCUGCACACGUGCUACAAUGGCUAGCGCAGUGAGCAUAUUUCAACCGAAACAUCGGUUGGCUGUUCUGAUUGACCCCUUCUGGGUCUCUCUGUAACACUACCGAUGAUCCCUCCUCUGAAAAGAGAGGGUAAGCCGUUCGAAAUUCUGGUAACGAUUCCCCGUAGUUAAGCAAACUUAAACCAUAGUGGUGUCAAACGGGUCCGCUUCCAUCGGAAAAGAUUCCUCCGGAAAAAGGCUUAUGCAGGCAUUUCACGUAUGCUCCUAUAAAUUCCUGGUAGGGAUAGUCUAUUGUAACUGGUAGACUUGUCAACUAGGAAUGCCUUGUAC